ACCUCCCAACCCAAUGUGAACGUUACCAAACUGUUGCCUCGGCGGGGUCACGCCCCGGGUGCGUCGCAGCCCCGGAACCAGGCGCCCGCCGGAGGAACCAACCAAACUCUUUCUGUAGUCCCCUCGCGGACGUAUUUCUUACAGCUCUGAGCAAAAAUUCAAAAUGAAUCAAAACUUUCAACAACGGAUCUCUUGGUUCUGGCAUCGAUGAAGAACGCAGCGAAAUGCGAUAAGUAAUGUGAAUUGCAGAAUUCAGUGAAUCAUCGAAUCUUUGAACGCACAUUGCGCCCGCCAGUAUUCUGGCGGGCAUGCCUGUCCGAGCGUCAUUUCAACCCUCGAACCCCUCCGGGGGAUCGGCGUUGGGGAUCGGGACCCCUCACACGGGUGCCGGCCCCGAAAUACAGUGGCGGUCUCGCCGCAGCCUCUCCUGCGCAGUAGUUUGCACAACUCGCACCGGGAGCGCGGCGCGUCCACGUCCGUAAAACACCCAACUUUCUGAAAUGUUGACCUCGGAUCAGGUAGGAAUACCCGCUGAACUUAAGCAUAUCAAUAAGCGGGGGAAAAAGAAA
rnacentral:rRNA from 1 species